CACGUAGGGGGCAAGCGUUGUCCGGAAUUAUUGGGCGUAAAGAGCGCGUAGGCGGUCCGAUAAGUCGGCUGUGAAAGUCAGGGGCUCAACCCUUGAAAGCCGGCCGAUACUGUCGGACUAGAGUCCGGAAGAGGCAAGUGGAAUUCCCGGUGUAGCGGUGAAAUGCGCAGAUAUCGGGAGGAACACCAAUGGCGAAGGCAGCUUGCUGGGACGGUACUGACGCUGAGGCGCGAAAGCGUGGGGAGCAAACAGG
rnacentral:rRNA from 1 species